GAACGAACGCUGGCGGCGUGCCUAACACAUGCAAGUCGAGCGAGAAAGUUCCUUCGGGAACGAGUAAAGCGGCGCACGGGUGAGUAACACGUAGGUAACCUGCCCCUUAGUCUGGAACAACUAGAGGAAACUCUAGCUAAUGCCGGAUGAGACCACGGUCCCCUCGGGGACUGCGACCAAAGAUGGCCUCUACUUGUAAGCUAUCGCUGAGGGAUGGGCCUGCGGGCCAUUAGCUUGUUGGUGAGGUAACGGCUCACCAAGGCUGUGAUGGCUAGCUGGUCUGAGAGGAUGACCAGCCACACUGGGACUGAGACACGGCCCAGACUCCUACGGGAGGCAGCAGUGGGGAAUAUUGCGCAAUGGGCGAAAGCCUGACGCAGCGACGCCGCGUGGGUGAUGAAGGCCUUCGGGUCGUAAAGCCCUGUCGCAGGGGAAGAAUAAGCAUCGGGAUAAUACCCCGGUGCCCUGACGGUACCCUGCAAGAAAGCACCGGCUAACUCCGUGCCAGCAGCCGCGGUAA
rnacentral:rRNA from 1 species